CACGUAGGCACCAAGCGUUGUCCGGAUUUAUUGGGCGUAAAGAGCUCGUAGGCGGUCUGUUGCGUCGGCUGUGAAAACCCGGGGCUCAACUCCGGGCCUGCAGCCGAUACGGGCAGACUAGAGUUCGGCAGGGGAGACUGGAAUUCCUGGUGUAGCGGUGAAAUGCGCAGAUAUCAGGAGGAACACCGGUGGCGAAGGCGGGUCUCUGGGCCGAUACUGACGCUGAGGCGCGAAAGCUAGGGGAGCAAACGGG
rnacentral:rRNA from 1 species